rnacentral:rRNA from 1 species
UGGGGAAUAUUGCGCAAUGGGCGAAAGCCUGACGCAGCAACGCCGUGUGAGGGAUGAAGGCUUUCGGGUCGUAAACCUCUGUCGGAAGGGAAGAACGGGCAUUGGUCUAAUAGGCCUUUGUUUUGACGGUACCUUUAGAGGAAGCACCGGCUAACUCCGUGCCCGCAGCCGCGGUAAGACGGAGGGUGCAAGCGUUAUUCGGAAUUACUGGGCGUAAAGCGCACGUAGGCGGCUUCGUAAGUCAGGGGUGAAAUCCCACGGCUCAACCGUGGAACUGCCGUGGAAACUGCAAAGCUUGAAUGCUGGAGAGGGUGGCGGAAUUCCUGGUGUAGGAGUGAAAUCCGUAGAUAUCAGGAGGAACACCGGUGGCGAAGGCGGCCACCUGGACAGGUAUUGACGCUGAGGUGCGAAAGUGUGGGGAGCAAACA